rnacentral:tRNA from 1 species
GCUUCCGUGGCUCAGUUGGUAGAGCGGCUCACUCGUAAUGAGCAGAUCGUCGGUUCGAGUCCGAUCGGAAGCU